GUGAAGAGGUAACAAGGGACGUCUGUAAUGCAGAGACUAGAGCUGCUGGGAUUGUUGUCGUCAGAGCGGAGGCAAGGAUGCCCCGAGGUAUGGUAUAUUGGGGAAACCGAGCAAAGGCUACGACAAUGGAUGAAUGGGCACCACACAAUUAUCAACCGACAGGAAGGUUCCCUUCCACUUCAGUGGUCCAGGACAUUCAGCCUCGGACCUUUGGGUGACCAUCCUCCAAGGUGGACUUUGGGACAGGAAGCAGAGGAAUGUGGCCGAGCAGAGGCUGAUAGCUAAGUUCGGUAUCCAUAGGGAGGGCCUCAACUGGGACCUUGGGUUCAUGUCACAUUACAGGUGAUCACCAUUGCACUACACACACACGCACGCACCCACACACGCACGCACCCACACACGCACGCACCCACACACACGCACCCACACACACCCUUAUAGACACACACACUCCCACAUGCACCCCCUCACAGACUUAAGACACUUUGCACUCACUAAACACACACAUACAUUCUCACACUCACAACCCCCACUCCAGACAGAUAGACACACAGACAAAGACCCACAUGCACACAUAUAUUUUGUGGGGUGAAUUUGUAUUUGUAGAAUUACAUUGCACUUUGCUCAAAAACUGCAUACAUUCAUGUAGAACUCUGAGCUCAAAAACUGCAUGAAUUUAUGUAAAACUCUGUUAUCUCACUUUUUAGAUUAGAAUCAAUCGAAAUAUCAUGGCAUAGACAGAGAACACAGGGGGCCAACACCUUCAACAUAUUGUCUAGCUAACACCAUUGUUAACAGCUAACCCGAGAAUGCAACUUUUAAAAAAAAGUUUUGUGAUUUACAUCUGAAAGAAGUGAAACUAUCACUGUAUUCUAACAGAUGAAAGGCUUAACAGACAAUCAAUGUUUCAAUGUAUAAUUUCAGUUACAUCACACUGCAAAUUUUUGCUAUAAAUUCUGUAUGUUAGGAUCAAGCCCUCCACUAUCACCUGAUGAAGGAGCGACGCUCCGAAAGCUAGUGUGCUUCCAAUUAAACCUGUUGGACUAUA